CCUACGGGAGGCAGCAGUGGGGAAUAUUGGACAAUGGGCGCAAGCCUGAUCCAGCAAUGCCGCGUGAGUGAUGAAGGCCUUAGGGUCGUAAAGCUCUUUUACCAGGGAUGAUAAUGACAGUACCUGGAGAAUAAGCUCCGGCUAACUCCGUGCCAGCAGCCGCGGUAAUACGGAGGGAGCUAGCGUUGUUCGGAAUUACUGGGCGUAAAGCGUACGUAGGCGGUUAUUCAAGUCAGAGGUGAAAGCCCGGGGCUCAACCCCGGAACGGCCUUUGAAACUAGGUAGCUAGAAUCUUGGAGAGGUCAGUGGAAUUCCGAGUGUAGAGGUGAAAUUCGUAGAUAUUCGGAAGAACACCAGUGGCGAAGGCGACUGACUGGACAAGUAUUGACGCUGAGGUACGAAAGCGUGGGGAGCAAACAGGAUUAGAUACCCUGGUAGUCCACGCCGUAAACGAUGAUAACUAGCUGUCCGGGCACUUGGUGCCUGGGUGGCGCAGCUACGACAUUAAGUUAUCCGUCCGUCGGGUAGGUACGGUCGCGAAGAAUUAAAACUUAAAUUAGUAAGUUAGUACGGCGUGAGACGUGCCGAACGGACGACGACGAGGGAGUAGG
rnacentral:rRNA from 1 species